rnacentral:tRNA from 1 species
GCCCUGAUGGUCUAGCGGUAUGAUUCUCCCUUAGGGUCAAAAUAACUCGCAUGGGAGAGGUCCCAGGUUCGAAUCCUGGUUAGGGCC